rnacentral:lncRNA from 10 species
GCAGCAGCCGCCGCCGCCGCGCAUUUCCCUGAAACCUGGGCUCUUGAAGACGCAUCACUGGAGCAGAUGGAUAAUGGAGACUGGGGCUAUAUGAGAUGGGGUCUUGCCAUGUUGCCCAGGCUGGUCUUGAACUCCUGAGCUCAGGCAAUCUGCCUGCCCCGGCCUCCCAAAGUGCUAGGAUUACAGAUGACUGACCCAGUCACAUUAAAUGUAGGUGGACACUUGUAUACAACGUCUCUCACCACAUUGACGCGUUACCCGGAUUCCAUGCUUGGAGCUAUGUUUGGGGGGGACUUCCCCACAGCUCGAGACCCUCAAGGCAAUUACUUUAUUGAUCGAGAUGGACCUCUUUUCCGAUAUGUCCUCAACUUCUUAAGAACUUCAGAAUUGACCUUACCGUUGGAUUUU